AUUGAACGCUGGCGGCAGGCCUACCACAUGCAAGUCGAGCGGAGCGGCGGACGGGUGAGUAAUGCCUAGGAAUCUGCCUGGUCGUGGGGGAUAACGUCCGGAAACGGGCGCUUAUACCGCAUACUAUCAGAUGAGCCUAGGUCGGAUUGGCUAGUUGUUGGGGUACAGGCCUACUAAGGCGACGAUCCGUAACUGGUCUGAGAGGAUGAGCAGUCACACUGGAACUGAGCACCGGUCCGGACUCCUACGGGAGGAAGCAGUGGGGAAGAUUGGACAAUGGGAGAAAGCCUGAUCCAGCCAUGCCGGGUGUGUGAAGAAGGGCUUCGGAUUUUAAAGCACUUUAAGUUGGGAGGCGUUACCAACAGAAUAAGCACCGGCUAACUACGGGCCAGCAGCCGCGGUAAUAC
rnacentral:rRNA from 1 species